ensembl:lncRNA
CGCAGAAGAGAGACUUUACUGCUCCUCUUGUCUUUUGGUUUGUUCAACAGGAAGGUCAGAGAGUGAGAUGCAGAGCGGUGCGCUUGCUGCCUCCUUGUGUUGCUCAACGCUCCAACAGAGCUUCCUGUGCGCGCCGUUUUCACAACAACAUUUUCCAAGGAGCUCCCAACAGUAGUUCAACAAAUGCCGACCGCCAUGAUGUGACGCAGUCAUGUGGGAGCGUCUAGCAGACCAAAAAUAAAGUGGGUGAGGGCGUGGAACACAUAGUUACUUUGUUUCCAUAAAUGAUCCAUCUGUUGACAUGCACUUACAAUCCAAUUUACAAUGUUUUGUGGCCAUCUUGGUUAUGGGCCAUCUGCAUACCUCACUUUUAGAAACAC